rnacentral:rRNA from 1 species
GGCGACCGGCGCACGGGUGAGUAACACGUAUCCAACCUGCCGAUGACUCGGGGAUAGCCUUUCGAAAGAAAGAUUAAUACCCGAUGGCAUAGUUCUUCCGCAUGGUGGAACUAUUAAAGAAUUUCGGUCAUCGAUGGGGAUGCGUUCCAUUAGGCAGUUGGUGGGGUAACGGCCCACCAAACCUUCGAUGGAUAGGGGUUCUGAGAGGAAGGUCCCCCACAUUGGAACUGAGACACGGUCCAAACUCCUACGGGAGGCAGCAUG